UACGUAGGGUCCGAGCGUUGUCCGGAAUUAUUGGGCGUAAAGAGCGUGUAGGCGGCUUGGUAGGUCCGCUGUGAAAACUCGAGGCUCAACCUCGAGAUGUCGGCGGAAACCGCUUGGCUAGAGUCCGGAAGAGGAGAGUGGAAUUCCCGGUGUAGCGGUGAAAUGCGCAGAUAUCGGGAAGAACACCUAUGGCGAAGGCAGCUCUCUGGGACGGUACUGACGCUGAGACGCGAAAGCGUGGGGAGCGAACAGG
rnacentral:rRNA from 1 species